rnacentral:rRNA from 1 species
GACGAACGCUGGCGGCGUGCUUAACACAUGCAAGUCGAACAGUGGCGAACGGGUGAGUCACACGUGAGUAACCUGCCCUCCACUUUGGGAUAACUCCGAGAAAUCGGGGCUAAUACUGGAUAGUGGGGGAUGGGCUCGCGGCCUAUCCGUUUGUUGGUGAGGUAGUGGUCACCAAGGCGUGACGGGUAGCCGGCCUGCGUGGGCGACCGGCCACACUGGGACUGAGACACGGAGCAGACUCCGACGGGAGGCAGGAGGGGGGAAGAUUGCACAAGGGGAGAAAGGGUGAUGCAGGGAGGCCGCGUGGGGGAUGACGGCCUUCGGGUUGUAAACCUCUUUCAGCAAGGAAGCGGGAAGUGAAGAAGAAGCGCCGGCUAAUUACGUGCCAGCAGCCGCGGUAAUAG